GUUACUUCGGUACAUCGGUGACAGGUGGUGCAUGGUUGUCGUCAGCUCGUGUCGUGAGAUGUUGGGUUAAGUCCCGCAACGAGCGCAACCCCUAUUGUUAGUUGCCAUCAUUCAGUUGGGCACUCUAGCGAGACUGCCGGUAAUAACCGGAGGAAGUGGGAUGACGUCAAAUCAUCAUGCCCCUUAUGACCUGGGCUACACACGUGCUACAAUGGUUGGUACAACGAGUUGCGAGUCGGUGACGGCGAGCUAAUCUCUUAAAGCCAAUCUCAGUUCGGAUUGUAGGCUGCAACUCGCCUACAUGAAGUCGGAAUCGCUAGUAAUCGCGGAUCAGCACGCCCGCGGUCCGAAUACGUUCCGGCCUU
rnacentral:rRNA from 1 species